AUGCACCACCUUCUUACCGAAUGCUCUUUCUCUCGCCAAGUUUGGCACGAGAUCCUAGGCUGGGCACGGGUGCCAAUUAGCCUCCCGGACCACGACACGCCAUUUCAAGUGUGGUGGAAAUCCUCUCUCGAUCUCGCGCCCACUUCCAUGCGCAAGGGCCUAUCCUCCCUCAUCAUCCUCUCAGCCUGGUGGAUCUGGAAGCAACGUAAUGCUUGCAUCUUUGACGGAGCGACGCCAUCGAUUACCUUCACCUCCGACACCAUCAAGGACGAGGCGCGUCUAUGGGCCAAGGCGGGCGCUACCGGACUGCAAAACAUUAUCCCCGGCGCGUAG
rnacentral:rRNA from 1 species